UGGGGAAUUUUGGACAAUGGGCGCAAGCCUGAUCCAGCAAUGCCGCGUGCAGGAUGAAGGCCUUCGGGUUGUAAACUGCUUUUGUACGGAACGAAAAAGCUCUCUCUAAUACAGGGGGUGAAUGACGGUACCGUAAGAAUAAGCACCGGCUAACUACGUGCCAGCAGCCGCGGUAAUACGUAGGGUGCAAGCGUUAAUCGGAAUUACUGGGCGUAAAGCGUGCGCAGGCGGUUUUGUAAGACAGAGGUGAAAUCCCCGGGCUCAACCUGGGAACUGCCUUUGUGACUGCAAAGCUGGAGUGCGGCAGAGGGCGAUGGAAUUCCGCGUGUAGCAGUGAAAUGCGUAGAUAUGCGGAGGAACACCGAUGGCGAAGGCAAUCCCCUGGGCCUGCACUGACGCUCAUGCACGAAAGCGUGGGGAGCAAACA
rnacentral:rRNA from 1 species